rnacentral:rRNA from 1 species
GAUCUCAACUCAUACGUGACUACCCCCCGAUUUUUAGUUUUAUAAGCGGGAGAAAAGAUAACCAGG